GAAACAUGCUCGUAAUUUUAUCAUUUACACCAUAAUAAGAGGAAGGAUCAGCAAAAUAAGAGAAUCUCACUCCAAUUGGAGAUUCCAAACAACAUAUUUGCUUCUGUAAAUCAAUAAUUUUGGUAGCAGAAUAUUAAACAACUUUUUAAGUGAUAUUGAAAAUAUGAAUAUUCACAAAAUAGACCAGUAAAGCAGUUCUAUUCUUUUCCACAUCAUAGGGCAUAAAAAAUAAUGCAAGGCAGCACCACCAAGAGUAAUAGUGAAAGAAGGAGGGAGGAUGUUUAAAGCUCCUUUCUGCAUUCCCUGCUGUAGAAGGCCAUAUUAAUUUCAUCUACUGGUAUCAAAUUAUAUUUUUACAUUAGUCUGAAACCACAAAUUUAACCAAGAGGCAGCUAACAGCAAUUAUAAUAUCCCCCUAGUAUGCACUUUUCAUGGAAUGUGAUCUUGCAUGAAAUUUUACCUAGAAAAAGAGUUGAGGAUCUCCCAAAACGAACUUGAAUUCUGGAUGAAAAUGCACCCCUACCUAAAAAAGAUGGUCUGGAAGCUCCAAAAUCUGCAGAAAUAGGAGUGAUUAGAUGCAAAGAGGAAGAAUUCAGCAUCAUGAAACCUCAACAUGUAACUGCACAAAUGAAUGGAAAAGUGAUUGGGUUACCUUGCUGCUGAUAAACAUUUAAGCACACAAGCAUCAGCAAACCUUAAAUAAAAUAGGACAAUUAUUUCUACAACAGAAAGCAAGAUAAAGAUAGGUAACCUCCAUUAGCUCCCCACUUUCAUACUUCCUGACAAAUUCAAGCCAGAUUCUUCCAAAAUGCUAAUCAUCUCUGGGUUCACCUGCAAGAAUUGAUGAGUAAAUAUGUAGCGUUCGAGAUAAGAAUACAUCUAUCAAAUAGUGACUCUAUUAAGUAAUAUUAAUUAACAUCAUAUCUAUGUCACACCUGUAGAGAGAAAAAUAGUUAGAAUAGAUCAUGCACAGCAAAUCAUUGUGGGAUCAAACAGAUUCUACUCGUAGAAUACAAAGGUGAUAAUCUCUUCAAAAUUCCAGGUCCCAAAAGAAUAUAUUUUACACUGUCAUGCAUAACUUCCCGAAGAAAAAAUGCACAAUUAAGUUCGUCGAUUCCACCAGCUUGAAAAUAGAAUACUACACGUAGAAAUAAAAAGUACAAAUUAAACUUCAGGCAAAUUACCUGUAAAGAGAAAAUGUAGACUCAUUAAAGGAAAUGCAAAUAUUCAACACGAACCGAUAAGAAAUAAACUGAAAGAAUGAUUCUUUCUUUUCCUUUUUUUGGGGAAUAUUUGCUCAACAAAUAAAUAAUACACCACUACAUCCAUCAAUUCAACCAACUUGCUUUAGAAGCACAUAAAUAAAUAGAUAAUUAACACUUAUUUCACCAAAUAACCAAGAACCCAUCAAGAUAUUCCCCACAAAUUAAUUUAUAAAAACUUUCACAUCUAACAAUAAAUUCUAAAUCAAGAACCUGAAUCAUCAAUCACGCAGUAUCAAUCACAUCACAUCUUCUGGCAUCAAGUCUAUAAAAAAUAAAGGUAUAGAUCUAUAGCUGUAAAACUUAAGCAGGAUCGAUAGAGAAGACGAAAAAAGAGAACUCUGCAAGAACGCCAAAGACUCAAAAUUGUAGACCAACGCUCUUUCUUCCCAUACUUCUUCAAAUAACUCUUCUCAAAACCUUGGCCUAACCAUUGCCCUGAACUAACCAACCCAUUCCCAUAAUACCCCAGUACCCAAAAAUUAGUUGACAAAUCCUACUCCUUAAAAUGCAUUCAGAUAUAGAAAAAAUUGACAGAUUGAUGUGAAUUGCAGCUCAAAGAUAGUAUCAAUUGAAACGGCACUAAAAUGCAAGUCUCGAACUUAUGAAAAAUAAAAUAGUUUGUGAAACAGGAAAAGGGCUCCUGAAUAAAUAAAUUAUGCGACACUUAAAUCCCAUAAAACCUUCAUAAGAAAUCAAAAGAAUUAUAAACUUAUUUAAAUCGUAAGGCAUAAGACUGUCGACAAAUUUCCUUAACAAAGAAUUGGAAUUGUUCAAUUUGAUUUUUAAAAAAUUAAAAAUCAAAACGAUACUAAAACGUGCUUCUCAAUUUCAUUAACCCCUAAUUUAUCAACAGGGAAAAAUGGGAUCUUGACUAAAUAAAUUUGGAAAUAUUUCAACCAAUAAAAACUUCGUAAAAAAUUACAAGAAUUAUAAUCAUAAGCCGCAAGACUAUUGGCUAAUUACCUUAUUAAGGAAUCACUGAAUUUGCUGUAGUUGAUGCUGAAGAAGAUGAAGGUGGGGAUUUCUUUACAACUGUCGAACGAAAAAGAAGAGAACAAAAAAUCAAAAAUUAAACAAUAAACUUGAACAAACUCGAAGAUGAAGAAAUAAACAGUCAAAGAACAAAUGAAAAGUGUGAAAAUUCUGAUUGCCGAAAUUCUUUUAGUCUUGUUUUAUAGCACAACAAUAAUAUUAAACCCCACAGCCCAGUAAUAUAAACAGACGCUUCUACAGCUUUUCUCAUGUUUUUGUUGCUUUCAUUGAUGAGCCUAUUUGAAAUCGAAGUAGAGGACGAGUUGCGCUCGUGUAUGUAGAUUCUGAUAUAGGCGUAGGCUGCGAAUCACUCGGAUUCCAAAAUUUAGGUGGACGGCAACUUCAGUUCCUCCUCCAUGGCGUUAACCACGGGAUCCUUGGGGCCUGCUUGGGAGUUUUUAUUUCAUCGGUUUUGGAUGGUACCGUUUAUGAAGGGUUGGAAGAACCGGUGGUUGCGAGUUUAUUUGGGCACCGGCUUCGAAUGGUUUAAAAACCAC
rnacentral:lncRNA from 1 species